GGGUUUUUUACAAAAAUAAUAUAAAAAUAAAAAAUUACCAAACUGUUAUAACUUUUUUUUAUUUACCAAAAUAUAUCAAAAAAAACUAAAAAGUAAAAAAAAUAAUAAUAAAUAGAAAAAAAAACCUGAACCGAUUUGACAACUCCCUGGGUGGAGGGAAGCAGGUUGGCGGCACCAAACAAGGGAAGCAGGUUGGCGGCACCAGUCGAGUGAACCAGGUUGGCGGCACCAGUCCUGCCAACCAGAUUGGCGGCACUACUCGUGUUAUUAACACGACCUCUGUCCAGCUGAAACAAGAAAAAUCAGAAGAAAAAGAAAAGAAAGAAGAGGUGCUGUGGAAAAAAAGAGAAAAAGAGAGAAAGAGAAGAGAAAAAUAAGGUAUUUUUUAAAAAUAAUUGAUUAUGUUAUUGUUAUUGUUUUGUAUAAUUUGUAUUUUUUUUUUGUUUUAGUUUAGUUAUUAAGAUUAAAAUCAAUAAAACUCAAAUUGAUAGUUUU
rnacentral:lncRNA from 1 species